rnacentral:rRNA from 1 species
GGAUUAGAUACCCUGGUAGUCUAUGCAGUAAACGAUGAGUGCUAGGGAUUGGUAAUUUAUUUUUCAGUCCUGGAGCUAACGCGUUAAGCACUCCGCCUGAGUAUUACGGUCGCAAGACUAAAAUUUAAAGGAAUUGACGGGGGCCCGCACAAGCGGUGGAGCAUGCGGUUUAAUUCGAUACUACACGCAAAACCUUACCAACCCUUGACAUGUUUAACCAUCGGCAGCAGUGAUGCAGCCUUCAUUUAGUUGGGUUAAAUACAGGUGUUGCAUGGUUGUCGUCAGCUCGUGCCG